CCUACGGGGGGCAGCAGUGGGGAAUAUUGGGCACUGGGCGCAAGCCUGACCCAGCAACGCCGAGUGAAGGAAGAAGGCUUUCGGGUUGUAAACUUCUUUUGUCAGGGAAGAGUAGAAGACGGUACCUGACGAAUAAGCCACGGCUAACUACGUGCCAGCAGACGCGGUAAUAAGUAGGUGGCAAGCGUUGUCCGGAUUUACUGGGUGUAAAGGGCGUGUAGCCGGGUUGACAAGUCAGAUGUGAAAUCCUGCGGCUUAACCGCAGAACUGCAUGUGAAACUGUUGAUCUUGAGUACUGGAGAGGCAGACGGACUUACUAGUGGAGCGGUGAAAUGCGUAGAUAUUAGGAGGAACACCAGUGGCGAAGGCGGUCUGCUGGACAGCAACUGACGGUGAGGCGCGAAAGCGUGGGGAGCAAACAGGAUUAGAUACCCUAGUAGUC
rnacentral:rRNA from 1 species